AUUGAACGCUGGCGGCAGGCCUAACACAUGCAAGUCGAGCGGACGAAGGGAGCUUGCUCCUGGAUUCAGCGGCAGACGGGUGAGUAAUGCCUAGGAAUCUGCCUGGUAGUGGGGGAUAACGUCCGGAAACGGGCGCUAAUACCGCAUACGUCCUGAGGGAGAAAGUGGGGGAUCUUCGGACCUCACGCUAUCAGAUGAGCCUAGGUCGGAUUAGCUAGUUGGUGGGGUAAAGGCCUACCAAGGCGACGAUCCGUAACUGGUCUGAGAGGAUGAUCAGUCACACUGGAACUGAGACACGGUCCAGUCUCCUACGGGAGGCAGCAGUGGGGAAUAUUGGACAAUGGGCGAAAGCCUGAUCCAGCCAUGCCGCGUGUGUGAAGAAGGUCUUCGGAUUGUAAAGCACUUUAAGUUGGGAGGAAGGGCAGUAAGUUAAUACCUUGCUGUUUUGACGUUACCAACGGAAUAAGCACCGGCUAACUUCGUG
rnacentral:rRNA from 1 species